GCAUUACUGCGGUGAAGCUAGAAAGC
rnacentral:piRNA from 1 species